AAUGGAUAUUCCAAUCAUUCUAGCCGAACAAGGUGAUGAUCAAAUAUGGCGUGAAGCUCAGCGUGUUUCUUUAACUGAUUAGUCAGAUGUUGAAUGUCUGAAAAAAUUUUGUUUACUAAAAUCUAAUAUAACAGAAAUUAUCAACACUCUUCGCAACAAUUUGUCACCCAUUGCAUUAAGAAGUAACGUGAUUUUUCCAGAAGCAAAGGUGUUGAUUUCUCUAAGAAUUUUAUCAACUGGGAGUUUUAAAGGUGUUGUUGGUGACACUUUUAAUGUAAGUCAGUCAAGCUGAAGUCGCAUAAUCCACCAAUUUUGCAAGUUUUUCAUUCAGCAUUAUUUUCACCUGGUAAAAUGGUAUCAAGAGGAGUUGGAUGAAAAGAAAAAGUACCUUCAAUCAUCUGGAAAAAGAAAAAGUACCUUUAAUCAUCUGGAGUUAAAGGUCUUCUUGGGAUAAUAGAUAGCACAAUAAUGCAAAUCAAAGGAGUGUUUAGGGCUGACAAGCCAGCAUAUAUUUGCAGAUUCCCUGCAGGCUACCUGUUAAAAAGAAAAAACUGAAGAAACUUGAAGAUGAUGGCAACUGAAGAAGUUAAAACACCCUUAUUUAUGGUGUCAUAUCGAGGCUUUAGUUCUCCAAUAUUUAUUUUUGUAUUUUAUUAUUUAUGUUAUGUUUAUUUUAUUUUUUUAUUUUCGUUAUUUUUGUAACAACAAACUAUGAGAAUGACUAUUUGACGUGCCCUGGGCCUCAACUUCAAUCUGGCUAUGGUUAUCUUAGUAAUAACACGUAUAUCGAUUUAUAUACUGUGUUGAGUUAGCAUGUCAUUUGUACGUGUGUUUUUGUUUGCCUAGUGUUUGUUAGUUAUAUGCAGGAUAUGACGUGGUAUGGUGCACUGCAUGAUAUGCCCUAAAUAAUAUUAUCAAUAAAUAUUUUCAUCUAUACUUUGUAAAUAUAUAUGCUAUAAACUAUUAUAUUAUUCAAAUGUUUAUUUUUAAUUUAUAAAAUUAGUGUAAAAGUGGAAGAAAGCACUGAAGAAGCAAAACGAUAAACUUUAAAGCAGAUUUUUGUCAUGCGAUUAGGGUGGCGAUAUAAGAGAACUAUUGUGCCAGAAUAUUACUAUCGUCGAACAGUUGUGCAUCAAAUCAUUGUAUAAUAAUAGUUUUUUUUUGCUUAAAAUUAUUAUGAAAUUCAAAA